AUGACUAUCCCUAUGGUUCUUGGCUGGGCAACCUAGAGAAUUCAGAGAUUAGAGUACGAUGUCAUAUACUUCCGAAUGACUUAGAAAGAAUUAAUCGGAGUUGUGCUACACCAGACAAAAUGGCCCUCACUUUACUAGAUUAUCUUUUUGAUCGAGAUACUCAGGCCUGUUCUAACAUCUCGGGAACAGGCAGACAUGGAAAAAACAGCUAGAUUCUUUAAAAGUGUAUGGUAUCAAAUCCACCUUAUGCACAAGUUUAGAAUAUGUACAAAAGACUGGCAUCGAAUUCAGCAGAAUCUUGAUUCCAAGUGCCGAACAGCUUUCCGCAGAAAACAGAGAGGAAUGCCAUUAACUGUAAAAGCUUUUCGACACAGAUUCACCCUCUGUAGCUCAGCAUGACAUUGAAUUUGAACCUUCGAUCAAAACAGAAAGUCAUAUCUUCUUGGAAAGAAAUGUUACUGCUGGACAAGCCAUACCAGUUUCUCUUCAUCAAACAGAUGAAAGUAGUGUUUCCAUACCUUUCCAGUGUACAUCACAGAACCAGGAAGAGGAAAAGAUUUGAAUAGAAUCAAAAGGUGAUUAGCACAGAACAUGGGGGAAGUGGAAGUUAUUCAUGCCACACCAGAGCACUUAGCUGAGCUUCAACAGAACCAUCAGAUCCACAUUCUAAGUGGAGUAGAACUGCUGAGCGACUUGGAAAGUGGAAGUGCUUCUGAUCCUGUUCCUCCAGCAAAAUCAUAAAACAAUUUACAUCAGUAGUUUCAAUUGUUUUUGCAUGGAAAUAUUGUUUAAUAUUAUAUCAUUUGGAAGAAAUAGAAGGAAGUUAAAGUAUUUUAUGUAAGUAAAAGUUCUAACCAAUAAAUAUCCGAGUUUUAUUAUUGAA